rnacentral:lncRNA from 1 species
UGUUGAGAUGAGUUGGAAUCAUUUCAGCCCAUCGAAAAGAGUUUCGAUGAUAUUGUGAUGGAGAUCAUGGUAUGUCUCACUAUCAGACAGAAUAGAAUCUGAGGAGUUACACACAAAAAGAUCAUGACCUAAUCAAUGGCUUAGAUCAUAUUCGAAUUAUCAAUCAGAUUGAUAGUUUGAAUUUUACAAACUACUAAUUUGUAAUCGUUACAGUUUUGGCAGCUGCUAAUUAUU